rnacentral:rRNA from 1 species
GAUGAACGCUGGCGGUAUGCUUAACACAUGCAAGUCGUACGAAGCUUUUUGAAGAGCUUGCUCUACAGAAAGACUGAGUGGCGGACGGGUGAGUAACACGUAAGAAUCUACCUUUUGGAGAGGGACAACCACUGGAAACGGUGGCUAAUACCUCAUAUUGCUGAGAAGUGAAAUGAUGAAUAAUCGCCAAGAGACGAGCUUGCGUCUGAUUAGCUAGUUGGGGGGUAAUGGCCUACCAAGGCGAUGAUCAGUAGCUGGUUUGAGAGGAUGAUCAGCCACACUGGGACUGAGACACGGCCCAGACUCCUACGGGAGGCUG